rnacentral:rRNA from 1 species
CCUACGGGUGGCAGCAGUGAGGAAUAUUGGUCAAUGGACGAGAGUCUGAACCAGCCAAGUAGCGUGAAGGAUGACUGCCCUAUGGGUUGUAAACUUCUUUUAUAAAGGAAUAAAACGAGGCACGUGUGCCUUUUCGCAUGUACUUUAUGAAUAAGGAUCGGCUAACUCCGUGCCAGCAGCCGCGGUAAUACGGAGGAUCCGAGCGUUAUCCGGAUUUAUUGGGUUUAAAGGGAGCGUAGAUGGGUUGUUAAGUCAGUUGUGAAAGUUUGCGGCUCAACCGUAAAAUUGCAGUUGAUACUGGCAUCCUUGAGUACAGUAGAGGUAGGCGGAAUUCGUGGUGUAGCGGUGAAAUGCUUAGAUAUCACGAAGAACUCCGAUUGCGAAGGCAGCCUGCUGGACUGUAACUGACGCUGAUGCUCGAAAGUGUGGGUAUCAAACAGGAUUAGAUACCCCAGUAGUC